GUUUUUCAGACGCUGGUGCUGACUCAUCCCCUGAAAACAGAACUGACCCCUGCAGUGAAUAGGGGCACUCAGAUGGAGGUUGUGACCUCUCAGCCUGCAAAAACAGACCUGACCCCUGUACUAAGGAUGGCAAUCGACAUACAGACAGUUGUUGUGUCUCUGGAGCUAUGGAGUCUCAUGUGCAGCUGUGUGUCACCUGCUGCUCUGAUCAUUAGCCCCAUCAUUAUGGAUCUACUACUAUUUGUAUUAUCUGAAGUGUUAUUAUACUGCCACUCUCGCUGCUCUCAUGUCAUUACUAUAUGACACGCUGAUGAGACGAUGUUAGUGGGCCUCAUCCAGAAUGAUGACGACUGGGCCUAUAGAGAGGAGGUGGAACAGCUGGAGUACUGAUGCAGGAGCAACAACCUGAUCCUAAACGUCAAAAAACAAAAGAAAUCAUUGUUGACUUAAGGAAGAACCAGCCUGGCCACUCACCACUGCUGAUCAACAACACGGCAGUAAAGGUAGUGGGAAGCACAAAGUUCCUGGGGGUCCACAUCACAGAUACCCUAAACUGGACUGUAAACACUGGGUCCCUGGCAAAGCGUGUGCAGCAGUGUUUGCACUUUCUCUGGAGGAUCACACUUUCCCCCUCCCAUCCUCAUCACUUUUUACAGAAGCACUGUAGAGAGCAUUAUGACCAACUGCAUCUAUGGCUGCAGACUGGAAGUGCCUACAGAGAGUGGUUAGGACAGCGGAGAAGAUCACUGGGACUUCUCUUCCCCCCAUCGCGGAGAUUAGACAGAAACACUGUCUGUCAUGGGCUAUCAACAUCACCAGAGACUGCACACACCCCCACCAUAGACUGUGCUCUGUGAUGGCCUCUGGCAGGAGGUAUCCGAGCCUUAAAAGCAGAACAGCCAGGUUCUGCAACAGCUUUAUCCCACAGGCCAUAAGACUGCUAAAGUCCCUAUAGACAGUCUCUUAAAUACUUACACACUUACACACCAUACUGUCUGUUCUAGUACUGCAGGCAUAAUACACCAAGAAGGAUCAUAAAGUAGGACAGUCUUCUAUUAUAUAAAUUAGAAGACAUCCAAGUCAUCAGACUAACAUAUAACUUAUAGCCCAGGUCCUACAUUUAAAGUCCCUUUACUGUAAAAAUAUGUAGUACUCUACAUUAACACAGAGUUGGUGGUUGGUGGGGUGCUUUGGCUCUGAAAUAACCAACACUUCUUUCCAAUUCACAACAGUUUUCCUGUAUAGAAUUUCAAGACAUCCAAGUCAUCAGGGUCACACAGUAUACUACCAGGUCCUACAUGGAGGUCUCUUUAAUGUCAGAAUUUGCAUUGCACAAUCUUAUUCCACACCUGUACAAGUUCUACAAAACACAAAAGAGCACAAAAGAGUCAGCUCGGUUCUAAUGACAACUUAUUCAGUGACUCUUAGGUGCUGGACCAAUAAUCAUAUUAAAGUGGCUGAGAUUUUACUUUCUCCUCUCCUUUCACUGGAGACAGCAGUUUUUCAUUCUGAGCUUAGUGAGCGAGCAGAUGCCGAGACAGGAGGACUUUCAGAUGCGGGACUCACUGUGAGUCCACAGAAGGGACAAAGAUCCCCCCUCGGCAGCUGACCGUUUCCAUACAUCCCGACUGUUAAUGAACAUUACAAUUUGACUAAUAAUCGUAUUAAAGUGGCUGAGAUUUGA